rnacentral:rRNA from 1 species
CCCUUAGAUGUUCUGGGCCGCACGCGCGCUACAAUGGUCUUCGCAAACGGAUGCAUUCUCGAAGGAGAAUGCCAAUCUUGGAAUCUAUGCCUUGGUCGGGACAGUUGCUUGCAAUUUUUCGACUCGAACCAGGAAUUCCUUGUAAUCGUGAUUCAUCACAUCACGAUGAAUACGUCCCUGCUCUUUGUACACACCGCCCGUCGCUCCUACCGAUCGAAGAGUUAGGUGAAUUGUUUUGAUCGAUAAGAUUUGACUAUGGUCAACUCUCGUUGUGAAAUUCUGUGAAUCUGACUGUUUAGAGGAAGGAAAAGUCGUAACA